CCCUUAGAUGUUCUGGGCCGCACGCGUGCUACACUGAGUGGAUCAGCGGGUCAGGUUGCGCGAAAGUGUUUCCUAAUCUUUAAAUCCGCUAGUGAUGGGGAUUGACGGUUGCAAUUUUCCGUCAUGAACGAGGAAUACCUUGUAAGCGCGGGUCAUCAUCCCGCGCUGAAUACGUCCCUGCCCUUUGUACACACCGCCCGUCGCUCCUACCGAUUGAGUGGUCCGGUGAGGCUUUGGGAUCUGAGCGGAAAGAGCGUUUCGCUGUUUCUGCCCGGAAAACUCAGUCGAACCUUAUCAUUUAGAGGAAGGAGAAGUCGUAACA
rnacentral:rRNA from 1 species